UAUUUCAAUAAUUUGCUUGCGCGUAGGGGUCUUUGGCAGUGGGAGGACCCGGAGAAAACCCAUGAGGUUGGACAGGCGACCCUACUCCUUGUCACGUAUAACCGGGGAUUCGAAACCACGCCAGUUGACUAAAUGACAGGUCGUCACCAUUCGGCCAUCCAACCCCCCAAAAAUGGUGUUGAAAUGGGUGUUUUUGUGAAUGCGCUUAGAAAUACUCAUGUGUAAUGAAGUGCUAUAAUUGAACCAUAAUAAUAAUAUAGUAGGCCUAGUGGACUCCUCCGUCUCAUUUUGGUUGAAUGUUUGGAAAUUUGAUGGCUAAUUAGAUUUAGGACACUCUGGCAUAUUUUCUAGACUUGGCUUCAUGUGGCCUGUUUUCCAUGCAUACAAGAAUUAACCAAUUAGAAGUUAAACAAAAUAAAAUCUGCUCCAAAAUAUUACAAUACUUUUUUUUAUUUCAUUGCCCAAAACACCUUUACAGCCUGAAUGUUAAUUUUGGGGCAGCGUUUAACUGCAUGGGUGGUAAUUGAAUUUAUUAAAUUGACUAACUUUUGCACAAUAAGUAAAUAUAAAUUAUCUUAAUACCCCAACUCAGACAAGUUAGUGGCCUUUCAAACCAAUUUAAAUUCGGUCAAAAUUUGUAGAAAUUUAGAUAUUAUUUUAUUGCAUGUGUGUACAAUUUGUUAUGUGUCUAAGCUCUGUUACCACAAAAAAUAUAUUUAAUUUAGUCCUUAUAGUAGAUUCUAUCACACGUUUGAAAGUUGUCCAACGGUCGAAUAAAUAUGUUGUAGUUUGACCUAGAUAAAUAUAAGACUGGGAAAAUAAAUAUAAAAAAAAUUCCGACAUCUUAAAAGUAGAUACCUAUAUUCGCAAUGGAAAUAUUAUUUUAAAAAUCGGGAUUAUUUAAUUUGAUACAACUGAAUAAAAUGGCUCUAGUCGAUCUAUUUAAAAAAACAUCAACCAAAUAUACGAGUUGGGCAACUGCCAGUGCAGUACUGCAUCCGUCGUGAUCCGAAUAAAGCUUAUAUUGUCCACAUUGAUUAAACUAUCAUUAUUAAAAUCAUUUUGAUUCUUCUAUAUUUGUACGUACUUUUUUACAACUCUGAACCCGGAAGCGAGGUAUUCUGGGAAGGUUAUUUUAAAGAUGGCGGGCGUUUUGGAAUUUAUUCGUGGAGUGCAUGAGAAAUGUUCAAUAUACAGCUACUUGGAUUACACAAACAGAGAAAGAUAGAUUAUACCAGUUAAAUUGAGAGGUUUUAUUUGAAAACCCUAUAUUUGAGCACCAUUCAUGGCAGUCAUGUCGAGGAAGUUAUAAAAAGGCUGAUAAGGGCUUUGUAUAUGGAAGCUAGAUGACAUUACUACUUAUCAUACACAACUAUUUGUCACAUACCGACUUGGGAUUGAAACCAAGCGACUGAACUCAAUAACAUUCCUCAAUAACACUCGUCUAUGAAACCACCCAGAUGGCAAAGAAAUAAAGACUUUUUAAUUAUGUACCGAACUCAUAUAUGUAUCUAUGGUAGCACAAAAUUCACCAGAAUGUAGGCCAAAGCUUUACUUUACAAGCAGUAGGCUUAAAAUAUUUUCCGUCUGAUCUUGUAAGAGUCAAUUGUUUAUGAAUAGUUUGCCUCAAGCAGAUAUCCUGUCACUGUGUCACAGUAUCAUAUAACCGCUCUUUGGCUUGAACUGAGUUGUAUCAGUGAGUUGAAAAUCUACUGCAGCCAGUAUAUUAGAUUCAAAAUUCUAACGAGCUUUCGUCUAACUUCUAACUUCUGUUCAUGUAUUUUUUUAACUUCUAUUCAUGUAAUUUCUAACUUCUAUUCAUGUAUUUUGUUAAAUUAAGACAAUGUAUAAUCCAACUUCUUUAUUUGUUCAGUGUAAAUUUUAAUUCUAUUCCAUCUUAUUUCUAUUAUUUAGACGAAAAACGUCUUCUUAAUUUUUACACUUCUGCCUAGCAACCAUCAUUAUGAAGUCAUUUGGUGUCGCCACUGCGUGCUCAUUUUUGGUGAUUGCGCACCUGGUCGGGACCAUUGUGUUGAUAUAAACGACACAUUCUUGAUAAAGACGAGAGUGUCCUCGUCGAAACGUUGCUUUAUAUUAAACUCAGUAAGAGUUAUCUAUAAAAUUGUACCCUGUGUUAAUGUAGACCAACAGUAUAUAAAUAUUAAUUGGCUCAACUUGUCUUAAAAAAAAUGAACAAAUGCUGUUUAGCUUGUAUUUGAAAUAGAAAAUGAAAUAUAAUGGGGUUUAACAUCCUACUAUUCUACUCCGAACUUGGCUAAUACGCCAUACAGUGUGCUACGAAGGAAACUUUGCCCGGACAGCGGCACUACGGAACGAUUAGACAGCUGUACUUGUUAGGCCCUCCAUCCUGCAUCACUGACAAGGAGGAACCAUGCCGGAAAAUCUGGAUGAACUUUCUUGACCAAUGCAGGGAUCGAACACCCUACCGCUAGGCUAGUGAGCCAGCGUCUUACCGACCGUAUUUGAAAUCGUAUUUGCAAACCAUACAUAGAUAUCACGUUCAAUGUUGUUUGUGGGGUUGGACGGCCGAAAGGUUAGCACGUGCGCGCUGUACCAUAAGGUAUGUCAUUGAGUCAACUGGUGUGGUUUCGAUUCCCAGGUUGUACGUGACAAGGAAUAGGGUCGCCUUUCCAACCUAGUGGGUUUUCUCCGGGUCCUCCGGUUUCCUCCCAUUGCUAAACACCCCUACGCGCAAGCGAAUUAUUGAAAUAAAAUUGAACCAUGUUAAUACCGAACCUACAUGUAGUUUGUGUUGAGUGGACGUUUAACCCCAUCAGACUCUCUCUCUCUCGCUCUCUCUCUCGAAGUUGUUUUCAAUUUUAGCACUCCACCAAACCAUUCAACUGGACUAAGAGCGAGUCAUUUGUAUCAACAGAAUGGUCCCGAUCAGGUGCUCAAUCGCCAAAUUGAGCGAACGGUGGCGACACCAAACGACGUCAUAAUGAUGGUUGCUAGGUAGAAAUCAAAAUUCUAAAUUUGUUUACCAUUCAUGCUUAACAUGUAAAGUGACUAGACAUUUUUCGCCUUAAUAAUAGAAAUAAGAUGAAACAAUUAAAAUUUACACUGAACAAAAAAAGAAGUUGAA